UGGGGAAUUUUGGACAAUGGGGGAAACCCUGAUCCAGCCAUGCCGCGUGAGUGAAGAAGGCCUUCGGGUUGUAAAGCUCUUUCAGCCGGAACGAAACGGCCACGGUUAAUACCCGUGACUACUGACGGUACCGGAAGAAGAAGCACCGGCUAACUACGUGCCAGCAGCCGCGGUAAUACGUAGGGUGCGAGCGUUAAUCGGAAUUACUGGGCGUAAAGCGUGCGCAGGCGGUUUUUGUAAGUCAGAUGUGAAAUCCCCGGGCUUAACCUGGGAACUGCGUUUGAACUACAAGGCUAGAGUGUGGCAGAGGGGGGUGGAAUUCCACGUGUAGCAGUGAAAUGCGUAGAGAUGUGGAGGAACACCGAUGGCGAAGGCAGCCCCCUGGGUUAACACUGACGCUCAGGCACGAAAGCGUGGGGAGCAAACAGGAAUUAGAUACCCUGGUAGUCCACGCCCUAAACGAUGUCAACUAGUUGUCGGGUCUUAACGGACUUGGUAACGCAGCUAACGCGU
rnacentral:rRNA from 1 species